rnacentral:rRNA from 1 species
GACAGAGGGUGCAAACGUUGUUCGGAAUUACUGGGCGAAAGCGAGUGUAGGCGGUUUCCUAAGUCAGGUGUGAAAGCCCCGGGCUCAACCCGGGAAGUGCACUUGAAACUGGGAGGCUAGAGUACUGGAGAGGUUGGUGGAAUUCUCGGUGUAGAGGUGAAAUUCGUAGAUAUCGAGAGGAACACCGGUGGCGAAGGCGGGUUGCUGGGCUGACACUGACGCUGAGGCGCGAAAGCUAGGGGAGCGAACGGG